rnacentral:rRNA from 1 species
UUGUUGGUAAGGUAAAAGCUUACCAAGGCUUCGAUCAGUAGCUGGUAUGAGAGGACGACCAGCCACACUGGGACUGAGACACGGCCCAGACUCCUACGGGAGGCAGCAGUGGGGAAUUUUGGACAAUGGGGGCAACCCUGAUCCAGCCAUGCCGCGUGAGUGAAGAAGGCCUUCGGGUUGUAAAGCUCUUUCAGCCGGAACGAAACGGUUACGGUUAACACCCGUGACUACUGACGGUACCGGAAGAAGAAGCACCGGCUAACUACGUGCCAGCAGCCGCGGUAAUACGUAGGGUGCGAGCGUUAAUCGGAAUUACUGGGCGUAAAGCGUGCGCAGGUGGUUUUGUAAGUCAGAUGUGAAAGCCCCGGGCUCAACCUGGGAACUGCGUUUGAAACUACAAGACUAGAGUGUGGCAGAGGGGGGUGGAAUUCCGCGUGUAGCAGUGAAAUGCGUAGAGAUGUGGAGGAACACCGAUGGCGAAGGCAGCCCCCUGGGUCAACACUGACGCUCAGGCACGAAAGCAUGGGGAGCAAACAGGAUUAGAUACCCUGGUAGUCCAUGCCCUAAACGAUGUCAACUAGUUGUCGGGCCUUUACGGGCUUGGUAACGUAGCUAACGCGUGAAGUUGACCGCCUGGGGAGUACGAUCGCAAGAUUAAAACUCAAAUGAAUUGACGGGGACCCGCACAAGCGGUGGAUUAUGUGGAUUAAUUCGAUGCAACGCGAAAAACCUUACCUACCCUUGACAUGUAUCGAAGCCCGCAGAAAAGCGGGGGUGCCCGAAAGGGAACGAUAACACAGGUGCUGCAUGGCUGUCGUCAGCUCGUGUCGUGAGAUGUUGGGUUAAGUCCCGCAACGAGCGCAACCCUUGUCAUUAAUUGCCAUCAUUUAGUUGGGCACUUUAAUGAGACUGCCGG